rnacentral:tRNA from 1 species
GGGGGUGUAGCUUGGUUGGUGAAGUGCCUGCCUGGUAUGCAGGAGACCCUGGGUUGGAUCUGGGGGUGAAUGCCUGCAAUCCCA